rnacentral:sRNA from 1 species
GAGGAGGAGUAUGAGAGCUUCUCCUCCGAGCAGGAGGCCAGUGACGACGCCGUGCAGGGGCAGGACUUAGACGAGGACGACUUCGACGUGGGGAAGCCGAAGAAGCAGCGGAGAUCGAUUGUAAGAACGACGUCCAUGACCAGGCAACAGAACUUCAAGCAGAAAGUGGUGGCGCUGCUGCGGAGGUUCAAAGUGUCCGAUGAGGUCCUGGACUCGGAGCAGGACCCUGCGGAGCACAUCCCCGAGGCAGAGGAGGACCUGGAUCUCCUAUAUGACACGCUGGACAUUGAGCACCCCAGCGACAGCGGCCCUGACAUGGAGGAUGACGACAGCGUCCUCAGCACCCCCAAGCCAAAGCUGCGGCCAUACUUUGAAGGCCUGUCGCACUCGAGCUCACAGACGGAGAUUGGGAGCAUCCACAGUGCCCGCAGCCACAAGGAGCCCCCGAGCCCGGCUGACGUGCCAGAGAAGACGCGGUCCCUGGGAGGCAGGCAGCCGAGCGACAGUGUCUCUGACACGGUGGCCCUCGGUGUGCCAGGCCCGAGGGAGCAGCCUGGACAGCCUGAGGACAGCCCCGAGGCUGAGGCCUCCACCCUGGAUGUGUUCACGGAGAGGCUGCCGCCCAGCGGGAGGAUCACCAAGACAGAGUCCCUUGUCAUCCCCUCCACCAGGUCCGAGGGGAAGCAGGCUGGCCGACGGGGCCGGAGCACGUCCUUGAAGGAGCGGCAGGCAGCACGGCCCCAGAAUGAGCGGGCCAACAGCCUGGACAACGAGCGCUGCCCAGACGCCCGGAGCCAGCUACAGAUCCCCAGGAAGACUGUGUAUGACCAGCUCAACCACAUCCUCAUCUCCGACGACCAGCUUCCCGAAAACAUCAUCCUCGUCAACACCUCGGAUUGGCAGGGGCAGUUCCUCUCCGAUGUCCUGCAGAGGCACACGCUCCCCGUGGUGUGCACGUGCUCUCCUGCGGACGUCCAGGCGGCCUUCAGCACCAUCGUCUCGCGAAUACAGAGAUACUGCAACUGCAAUUCCCAGCCCCCGACCCCCGUGAAGAUCGCAGUGGCGGGAGCGCAGCAUUACCUCAGCGCCAUCCUGCGGCUCUUCGUGGAGCAGCUGUCCCACAAGACGCCCGACUGGCUUGGCUACAUGCGCUUCCUGGUCAUCCCGCUGGGUGAGCACCGCGCCGUCCACCUGGGCCUGGGCACAGACGCCACGGGCGGUGUGGCGUGGCAUGGAGUGGUGUGGCGUGGUGUGUUGUGUGGCGUGGCGUCGCGUGGCGCGCUGUGGCGUGGUGUGGUGUCCCUGCUUGCUACACAUUUGUUGUUUUUAAAUGUUUGUUUGAUACAGUAACACUUUGUUAAUUUUAAUUACAUGCAAGAUAACUUGAUUGCCCUAAAACAGCCAUUUGGGUCAAGAUAAAGCCAUCACCCUCUGAAGGGGCCUGAGCUGGGUGUCUUCUCCGUCAGUCGCUGUGAUAACUCUAUGCCAGUUUCGAUUUCCAAAGUCAGAAGUGGAAAGCAGGGCUUGUUAUUAAUCCUCUCAAGUUGUCCAGGUCCUGUGUCGUCGAACUCCAUUACUUCUUUAGGUCCAUACAAUGUGUCUUACCACGAAACAAACCCAUCCAGCCUUAAUCUGUUGACCAGCAGCAAGGCCUGGAGGUGCCACCUCUCCCGUGUGGCCCUCACGAUGCUGACAUCAGAGCCCUGAGCCAGCCAAGGCCUCUGCACUAUCAUAUGUGCCCUGCUGGGCCUUCCUCAGUGGCACUCAAGGCUCUGGGACCUCAGCUCAGGGCUGGAGCUCCUUCAGUGGGGCCACAGGCAUCCACCAGCGAGGGGCAGUGGUGGCAGGAAAGUGGGCUUGUCUGGAAGGCAGCAGCACAGCCCUGGGGUCGGGUGGCCCAGCUUUUGUGCUGCGGUGGGAGCCUUGCAGCUCCGAGUCCCCCGUGGUGACACCAGCCCCACCCCUGGCAUGCAGGCUCCCACCCCGUGGCCAGGUACCUAGGCUCCGUGGACUACCGCUACAACAACUUCUUCCAGGACCUGGCCUGGAGAGACCUGUUCAACAAGCUGGAGGCCCAGAGUGCGGUACAGGACACGCCGGACAUCGUGUCACGCAUCACGCAGUACAUCGCAGGGGCCAACUGUGCCCACCAGCUCCCCAUCGCAGAGGCCAUGCUGACCUACAAGCAGAAGAGCCCUGACGAAGAGUCCUCCCAAAAGUUCAUUCCCUUUGUCGGGGUUGUGAAGGUUGGAAUUGUGGAGCCAUCCUCGGCUACAUCAGGCGACUCGGACGACGCGGCCCCCUCGGGCUCUGGCGCGCUCUCCUCCACCCCGCCGUCCACAUCUCCUGCGGCCAAGGAGGCCUCACCCACCCCGCCCUCCUCCCCGUCGGUGAGCGGAGGCCUGUCCUCCCCCAGCCAGGGUGUCGGCGCCGAGCUGAUGGGGCUGCAGGUGGACUACUGGACGGCAGCACAGCCCGCGGACAGGAAGAGGGACGCCGAGAAGAAGGACCUGCCUGUCACCAAAAACACGCUCAAGUGCACUUUCCGGUCCCUCCAGGUCAGCAGGCUGCCCAGCAGCGGCGAGGCUGCGGCCACGCCCACCAUGUCCAUGACCGUGGUCACCAAGGAGAAGAACAAGAAGGUGAUGUUUCUGCCCAAGAAAGCGAAGGACAAGGACGUGGAGUCUAAGAGCCAGUGCAUUGAGGGCAUCAGCCGGCUCAUCUGCACUGCCAGGCAGCAGCAGAACAUGCUGCGGGUCCUCAUCGACGGUGUGGAGUGCAGCGACGUCAAGUUCUUCCAGCUGGCCGCGCAGUGGUCCUCGCACGUGAAGCACUUCCCCAUCUGCAUCUUCGGACACUCCAAGGCCACCUUCUAGCCCCACCCACCAAGGGGCCCACCUCCUGCCCCAUGCUGUGAGGGGCCCAGCUGCAUUUUUGUUAACAUUUCAGUUUACUACAGAGACAGACCCUUAAAACACAAAGAGAAACAGUCUUAAGUAUGAAUGUGCUCACAACGUGGAAACUAACGGGGGAGCUCCUGCCGGGAGCCGAAUAACUGCUCUGCUUAUUAACCCGAACGUUCGGCCUGGGGCUGGGAAGCCAGAAGGACGGUGCUGAGCCAUGGAUCGCGGAAGGCGUGCUCUGGCCUCAGGAGCCACCCAGAGCCUCACAGGCCGAGUUCUUGCUUCUGUGUCCUGUCCUUCCUGGAAGUCAGGACUCUGCUUCCUCAGGGAGCCUGGGGCAGGCAGAGCUCAGUGGCCACAGGCCAAGGGCCAUGGGGCUGCUCAGUCCCGUUGGGAGUGUCCUGAGUUGAGCCUGGGGGGGGCCAUCCUGCCCGCCUAAGAGAUGCCCCCAGCACCGCACACUCGUGGUUCCCAAUAAACUCCUGCCUGCGGCGGAGGUUUUAUAGCAGCAGAUA